rnacentral:rRNA from 1 species
ACCAUUUUUUAACUCUAUAGGUUUAAGAAUGUAAAACAAGUCUCGAAAGAGCAACAUAACAAAACAAAACUUUCGGCAACGGAUCUCUUGGCUCUCGCAUCGAUGAAGAACGCAGCGAAAUGCGAUACGUAAUGUGAAUUGCAGAAUUCAGUGAAUCAUCGAAUCUUUGAACGCACCUUGCACUCUUUGGUAUUCCGAAGAGUAUGUCUGUUUGAGUGUCAUGAAACUCUCAACCCCCUCAUUUUGUAAUGAAGUGAGUCGUGGGCUUGGAUUAUGGCUGUCUGUCGGCUUCAUUGCCGGCUCAGCUGAAAUACACGAGUAACCCAGUUUGAAAAACUGACGGCUUGACUCGGCGUAAUAAUUAUUAUCGCUGAGGACGUCUAACCUUCAAAUCGUUAGUGGUGCUUCUAAUGCAAAUCAUUUUAAGAUUUAGACCUCAAAUCAGUCAGGAUUACCCGCUGAACUUAAGCAUAUCAAUAAGCGGAGGA